CAAUAGCGUAUAUUAAAGUUGUUGCGGUUAAAAAGCUCGUAGUUGGAUUUCUGCUGAGAACGACCGGUCCGCCCUUUGGGUGUGUAUCUGGCUCUUUCUUGGCAUCUUCUUGGUGGACGUUGCUGCACUUGACUGUGUGGAGCGCUACCCAGGACUUUUACUUUGAGGAAAUUAGAGUGUUUCAAGCAGGCAUACGCCUUGAAUACAUUGGCAUGGAAUAAUAAGAUAGGACCUCGGUUCUAUUUUGUUGGUUUCUAGAGCUGAGGUAAUGAUUAAUAGGGAUAGUUGGGGGCAUUCGUAUUUAACUGUCAGAGGUGAAAUUCUUGGAUUUGUUAAAGACGGACUACUGCGAACGCAUUUGCCAAGGAUGUUUNCAUUG
rnacentral:rRNA from 1 species